GUCCCUAUCGUCUAGACGGAUUAGGACAUCACCCUUUCACGGUGGUAACACGAGUUCGAAUCUCGUUGGGGACACCA
rnacentral:tRNA from 1 species